AUUUUCAAAGUAUUUCUGGGACACCACAGUCACAAUCAUACUGAUCACUACAUCUCUGUUAGAGGAUGGGUUGCUGCUAUUAACCUGUCCUGAUGUCAUAUGCAACAGCAGUCAUAAUUUCAAACGUGGGUCUAAUUUCAUGAAAUUUCAUAAACAUUUCCAAUUAGUUGAUUGGCUGUAAUUAGAUACUCAGCACUUACGAUGAAUCAUGAUAGUUUUGUAUGUCCAGGCCACUCUGAAGGUCAGUCGAUUAUUUAGUGACUUCAACAAUAUGUCAUUCGGAGGGUACAAUGAGUUAGGUAAGGAUGCGUCAUACUGGUCACAACAUCGAUUACUAAAACAAGUAAUACUGGGUUAGGUUGAAUGUAUAGGUGUCUGGUGUCUGUGUCAACUACUUAUAACUAAAAUAAUCCGGGUUAGAAUCGGUCUUCAGCAACCCAUGUUUGUCGUUAGAGGGGAAUGACGGGAUCGGGUGGUCAGGCUUGCCUUGGUUGACACAUGUCAUAGUGUACCAACUGCGUGGAUCGAUGCUCAUUAUAUCAAUCACUGGACUGUCUGGUCCAGAUUCAGUUAUUUACAGACCUCCGUCAUGCAGCGGAAAGUUGCUCAGUGAAGUGUCAAACAACAAUCAACAAAAGUGUCACGUGACCUCCCAAACCUCCAGUUUACAUUAUAUCUUGGUUUGCUAUGUCGGGUCCUAUUUUCAGAAGAAUAUCGAUUACCACCGAUGAACUUCAAGGUCACAGCAAUCAUCACUGCCAUAUUUCAAAACUGCCAUAUUUGUAAUUUUGAUUUCGUAUUAAUGUAAUGUGAAACUAUUUUCAGUGAUUAGCCUUGAAUCGAUACAGGAUAACUUGCAAUGUCACACCGAAAGACUUCAAUAUACUUUUGAACUCUUUGCACAGUGCUAUGUUUGUAAUUGCCGAAUUGAUGGCAAAGGUCACAAGGCCAGAUGCCUUUGUAGGCAUUGAAUGUUAGCUUUCAAGAUGUACUACAUGAAGUAUUUUUCCCAGACCCGAAAAAUGUGUUUCUAAUAGAAGCAAGGAACCUAGAUAGUAGUAGUUAGCAGCAUCAAAGUUAUAUUGCUUGUUUGUAAUGCAUAGAGAUUACUAGCAAGCAAAAUGAUCAUAGAUAUCUGUCAUAUCAGAAUA